UGCAGCACGCAAAGCGCUAAAAGAUACAAGGCAAAACACGCACGCGGCAGGAAAAGCGGAAAACAACAAUCGGAUGCCGCCUGGGAAAGUAAAAAAGGUGCAAAUCGGUUAGCAAUGGGUCACGAUCCGUCAGGAUCAGUUGGGACCCCUACAGAAAAUUGUAUCUUUGAAACACAAAAUUGGUAUCCUUCAAAGCAACCGCAAUCAAUCAUGUGACAAGCGAGGAAAGCAAAAGUCCCUCCUGACCACUCCGGAGAACAGGAUUAUGGGCGAGUGGGAAGUGCCAAGAAAGGCUGGAGCCAAGAGAAGCCGCAGAUGGCGACAGGUGGGUGGACAGCGGGUGGCCGUUUCCCGAAGGUGGGCCCAAAGCCGAUCAGAAAUCAAGAGCCCAACCAGCAGGUGCGACUGAAAGUGGCUUGCACUGGGGAUGUUCCGCCGCCAGCGGAUGAGCCAGCGAACUACACUGGCCCAACAGAACUUGGAUCGCCGAACUCAGGUUGCAGAUUGUUUACUGGUGAAGAAGCUGUCAUAACAAAAAAUAAAACCCUGGAAGUCUCGAAGUGUACUUAGCCAAUUCAGAAGACUGAUAACAAGUUCCAUUCAACAUUUUUAGAUUAUAUAUGCACGUUUACCCUUCAAAGCACUGACUUGCUCAAUAUAUUUUUAGUUAAUGACUAAAUCAAAUAAUCGCUUAGAUCGACAAAACGCUUUUAUCUAUUAAAAUUUUAAACCAAAAAAAAGUAUUGAAACACUAUAAAUAAAAUAACAAAAAAAACUUGGUUCAUCACAAAAACACACAUGAUUUUACUUCCAAAAGAGAUUAGAACUGAUAUGCCUAUCUUUCGAUUUCAUCACGAAACACCAAUCGAGAGCGGUUAAUUAUUAAACUACAUAGGCGAGCUGCAAACUAAGUUCGAGCACAUGAUUUGGAUUCUGUAAGUGCCCGCCGGGCCCUGUAAGAGCACCUACUGCGAUUAGUUAAACACACAUAGCCGCGCACAUGAUUUCACUCGGACCGAGAUUAAGGCCGACCGACUAAUUUGACGACGAGUGUAAAUGCGCUUGGCCAGCAAAGUGCAAAAAGUCGCAUGAAAAACACUGGUGUAUGCCCACCUCGUACUCUGGCUGGUCGCUGGCUGUGACUGUAUACUGGAGACUGUGCUGGGACACUGGAUACUGGCGCUGGAUACUCUGGUGGUACUACUGCCUGUGAAAAUCGCCUCGAACGAACUGAGGCGGCGACUCGCACUGGUACUGGCUGCUACUACGGCGGCUAUAGGCGGGCGAACU